UACGUAGGGGGCUAGCGUUGUCCGGAAUCAUUGGGCGUAAAGCGCGUGUAGGCGGUCCGGUAAGUCCGCUGUGAAAGUCGGGGGCUCAACCCUCGAAUGCCGGUGGAUACUGUCGGGCUAGAGUGCGGAAGAGGCGAGUGGAAUCCUGGUGUAGCGGUGAAAUGCGCAGAUAUCAGGAGGAACACCAAUUGCGAAGGCAGCUCGCUGGGACGUUACUGACGCUGGAGACGCGAAAGCGUGGGGAGCAAACAGG
rnacentral:rRNA from 1 species